UACGUAGGGGGCAAGCGUUGUCCGGAAUCAUUGGGCGUAAAGCGCGUGUAGGCGGUUCAGUAAGUCUGCUGUGAAAGUCCAGGGCUCAACCCUGGGAUGCCGGUCGAUACUGGUGGACUAGAGUCCGGAAGAGGCGAGUGGAAUUCCCGGUGUAGCGGUGAAAUGCGCAGAUAUCGGGAGGAACACCAAUGGCGAAGGCAGCUCGCUGGGACGGUACGUGACG
rnacentral:rRNA from 1 species